rnacentral:other from 22 species
GUUUCAAUCCCUCUUAAUACGUCAGGUCUUAAUCAAC